AGUGCCGAAUGCGGGAAUCGAACCCGGGUCCUAGUGGUCCAAAACCAACGGUUUAGACCAUUCUUCCACCGACCC
rnacentral:tRNA from 1 species